UACGAGGGGGGCGAGCGUUGUUCGGAAUUAUUGGGCGUAAAGGGCGCGUAGGCGGGAUGGCAAGUCGGUCGUGAAAUCCCCCGGCUCAACUGAGGAUCGUCGAUCGAUACUGCCGUUCUUGAGGAUUGCAGAGGAGACUGGAAUUCCCGGUGUAGCGGUGAAAUGUGUAGAGAUCGGGAGGAACACCGGUGGCGAAGGCGGGUCUCUGGGCAAUUCCUGACGCUGAGGCGCGAAAGCGUGGGGAGCAAACGGG
rnacentral:rRNA from 1 species